rnacentral:rRNA from 1 species
GACGAACCGAGCGAACGUUGUUCGGAAUCACUAGGCUUAAAGGGCGCGUAGGCGGGUGCUCAAGUCCGGGGUGAAAUCCUCCAGCUCAACUGGAGAACUGCCUCGGAUACUGGGUGCCUCGAGUGUGGUAGGGGUGUGCGGAACUAUCGGUGGAGCGGUGAAAUGCGUUGAUAUCGAUAGGAACUCCGGUGGCGAAGGCGGCACACUGGACCACAACUGACGCUGAGGCGCGAAAGCCAGGGGAGCAAACGGG